GACGAACGCUGGCGGCGUGCUUAACACAUGCAAGUCGAACGGAAAGGCCUCUUUCGGGGGGUACUCGAGUGGCGAACGGGUGAGUAACACGUGAGUAACCUGCCCUUGACUUUGGGAUAACUUCAGGAAACUGGGGCUAAUACCGGAUAGGAGCUCCUGCUGCAUGGUGGGGGUUGGAAAGUUUCGGCGGUUGGGGAUGGACUCGCGGCUUAUCAGCUUGUUGGUGGGGUAGUGGCUUACCAAGGCUUUGACGGGUAGCCGGCCUGAGAGGGUGACCGGCCACAUUGGGACUGAGAUACGGCCCAGACUCCGACGGGAGGCAGCAGGGGGGAAUAUUGCACAAUGGGUGGAAGCCUGAUGCAGCAACGCCGUGGGCGGGAGGACGGCCUUCGGGUUGUAAACCGCUUUCGCUCAUGACGAAGCUUUGUGUGACGGUAGUGGGUAAAGAAGCACCGGCUAACUACGUG
rnacentral:rRNA from 1 species